CGUAAUUUUAUCGAUAAUAAUACUGGUAAUAUUGAUUUUCUAAAAUGGAAAAUGAAAUUCACCGUAUUAGUUUCGGAAAGAGGAAAUGAUUUAGUAAUAGUAAAUUGACACCAAUUUCGAUACAUCCGACAGCGGGCUGAUGGUUAUGUCAGAUGGAGGUGCUGUAAAAAAAAAACAGUGUACAGCUACACUAAUAAUAAUGGCGGACAAAUCAAAUUAUAGAAAAUACGAGUGAGCAU